UACGUAGGUGACAAGCGUUGUCCGGAUUUACUGGGCGUAAAGAGCGCGCAGGCGGUCGUUCAAGUCGAGUGUGAAAGCCCCCGGCUCAACUGGGGAGGGUCACUCGAUACUGAUCGACUCGAAGGCAGGAGAGGGUAGUGGAAUUCCCGGUGUAGUGGUGAAAUGCGUAGAUAUCGGGAGGAACACCAGUGGCGAAGGCGACUACCUGGCCUGUUCUUGACGCUGAGGCGCGAAAGCUAGGGGAGGCAAACGGGG
rnacentral:rRNA from 1 species